rnacentral:miRNA from 1 species
GGUAGUCGCUGUGAAAUUGAA